CAGUUAAAGGGAAAGGAAACUGCUUCUCUUCGAAAGGCCCAGGUUACAUCUAAAAAUUUUUUAUUAAUCUAUAUGAAUAAGAAUCAAAUUCUUACCUAAUUAGUAGUAAAAUCUGAAAUCAAAUCUUAAUUAAUCUAAAUUAAAUCUUUGUGGAGGUCUGGAUGUACAGACCCUCUACUUCGCAUGCACGCCAGACACUGC
rnacentral:lncRNA from 1 species